GGACAGCUUCAAAGAAGACAGAGGGGGUGACAGGCGCUAAAGGGUUCAGGCCAGGAUAAGAUGAACAAGGAGAUCUUUAUUGGACCAGUAUGCAACACGUUUCCCGGACAUUUUUGGAGCGAUUGGCAAUUCAUCUAUUAUAUCAAGCUAUAUAUUCCAUUUUACUUCCUGCCUGCAUCAAUGCUGUAUUCCUGAGAGCACAUUUAUGUAACAGUACCAUACGUUUUCAGCAGAUGGCGCUGGAAAUACAAUAAUUUAUCCAGACCCAAGCACCGGCCUGACUGCAGAUUUAAUGACUCGGACUGACACCUGCGAGUUUGUUCAAAUCAACAUGCCUGCAAUCAAAGGUAAACAACUUCUUUGCUAGGUCUUGCAAAGGUUUGUGUCUUGUCCUCCUUGAUGAUUCACGAAGGCUACUGUGGUGUUGUCCGAAUAAAUUUUCGUGUGUUGCCUUUGAACAAGGGUUUCUGCCGCCUUCAAUGCCAUAAGAACUGCUUUUCUCACCAGAUCCCCUGGAACGAGUGACUGCUCACCUGGGCACCCCAGCCUUUCAGACUGGCAUCUAUAGUGAUGGAGAUCAUUGGGGUAGGAAUCCAAGAGACCACUUUUGUCAGAUUCUCUGAUUACAACCACAACAGAAGAGACUUCUUUGCUAGGUGAGAGCAUCAUCUUUUCUAUAGAGAAAUGACAGCAAUCCCAUACUUUCAAGAUUUCAUUUUGAAGAAUACAGGUAUGAUUUUGGCUCCAUGGUACUGUCGGAAUACAAAAACUUCAUGGAACCCAAAAGGGACAUUGCUUCCCUUAUGGUGAAAACCUUCUUUUGAUGAAUUGAUGAGACCUUGUCUAU